rnacentral:rRNA from 1 species
GAACGCUGGCGGCGUGCUUAACACAUGCAAGUCGAACGGAGUUUUUAAACGGAAGUUUUCGGAUGGAAGUUUAAGAACUUAGUGGCGGACGGGUGAGUAACGCGUGGGUAACCUGCCUCAUACAGGGGGAUAACAGUUAGAAAUGACUGCUAACACCGCAUAAUAUAGCGAAACCGCAUGAUUUUUGCUAUCAAAUAUUUAUAGGUAUGAGAUGGGCCCGCGUCUGAUUAGCUAGUUGGUGGGGUAAAAGCCUACCAAGGCGACGAUCAGUAGCCGGCUUGAGAGAGUGACCGGCCACAUUGGGACUGAGACACGGCCCAAACUCCUACGGGAGGCAGCAGUGGGGAAUAUUGGACAAUGGGGGAAACCCUGAUCCAGCGACGCCCGCGUGAGUGAAGAAGUAUUUCGGUAUGUAAAGCUCUAUCAGCAGGGAAGAUAAUGACAGUACCUGACUAAGAAGCCCCGGCUAACUACGUGCCAGCAGCAGC